rnacentral:tRNA from 1 species
GUGAAGGUGGCUCAGUGGUAGAGUGCUUGCCUUGCAUGCAUGAGGUCCUGGGUUCGAUUCCUCAGCACU